UACGGGGGAUGCAAGCGUUAUCCGGAUUUACUGGGUGUAAAGGGGGCGCAGACGGCAGCGCAAGCCAGGAGUGAAAGCCCGGGGCCCAACCCCGGGACUGCUCUUGGAACUGCGCGGCUGGAGUGCAGGAGGGGCAGGCGGAAUUCCUGGUGUAGCGGUGAAAUGCGUAGAUAUCAGGAGGAACACCAGUGGCGAAGGCGAUUCUCUGGACUGUAACUGACGCUGAGGCUCGAAAGCGUGGGGAGCAAACAGG
rnacentral:rRNA from 1 species